rnacentral:rRNA from 1 species
GUGGGGAAUUUUCCGCAAUGGGCGAAAGCCUGACGGAGCAACGCCGCGUGAGGGAUGAAGGCCUCUGGGCUGUAAACCUCUUUUAUCAAGGAAGAAGAUCUGACGGUACUUGAUGAAUAAGCCACGGCUAAUUCCGUGCCAGCAGCCGCGGUAAUACGGGAGUGGCAAGCGUUAUCCGGAAUUAUUGGGCGUAAAGCGUCCGCAGGCGGUCUUACAAGUCUGUCGUUAAAGCGUGGAGCUUAACUCCAUUUCAGCGAUGGAAACUGUAAGACUAGAGUGUGGUAGGGGCAGAGGGAAUUCCCGGUGUAGCGGUGAAAUGCGUAGAUAUCGGGAAGAACACCAGUGGCGAAGGCGCUCUGCUGGGCCAUAACUGACGCUCAUGGACGAAAGCCAGGGGAGCGAAAGGGAUUAGAAACCCCUGUAGUCC